rnacentral:lncRNA from 1 species
CUUUAAACAGUUUAUUUCUGAGAAGAACCUUCAAAUGCGAGCACAAGAUAAUUUUUCCCCCCCAAAUCCUAGGCAUUUUAGUUCAUUUAAAAUGGGUUUAUGUAAUACCUGCAAAUGGAACACAAACAUACCAUUUUUUUCUUUCUUCUCUCAGCCACAUGAAGAAUUUAGUUUUUGAACAUGGUAAAAUAUUCUUCAGCUAUUAAUUUCCUGUACAUACCUCAUAGUCCCUGUUUAUAUUUUGGGUAUUUUUUUUUUUUUAGAGACAUUGCACUCCACAUAGACUCGCUCUGUACCUAGUCUGGAAUGCAGUGGUGUGAUCACGGCUCAGUGCAGCCUCAAACUCCUGGGCUCAAGCAAUCCUACUGCCUCAGCCUCCUGAGUAGCUGGAACCACAGGCAUAUGCCACCAUGCCCAGAUGAGGGAUGCAACGUUAAAAGAUGUUAAAAUGACAUAUCCACAAGAGACAGUCAGAAAAACAUAGAGACUGUCUUACUACAAUGUUUCCCUCUGACUAUCAAGAUGCUGAAAACCUUUGAGAAGAAGCAGGGGCCCAGAUGUAAACUGAUCUGAAACUUGUUCAAAUUUACCACCAAAGCAACUCUGGGAAGCAGUACAAAUACAGAGUUCCAUGAGACAACACUUAAGAGUUCCUCUUGGACAGGAAAGCACAUGCAAACACUGUCCAACAUGAGUAUUCAGACAUGCAGAGAAAUCUUAUACCAAGUAUAACCAACCAUAAAUGGGCAAUAUAGCAUUUUUACUGAAAAGGUAAAUAUAGCCUAAUUUACUCUGCUUAAGCAUGAUGCUCAGAUAGGAGAACUAAUCUACCGUGUCCACAGACCAGUGAAUUUACUGUGGGGAAACAGUAAACAGUUGAGGUGACGUCUAUGGUCUAAGGCCUGCAGAAAUUGAGCAAUGGUAAAGCCUCAAGAGGAGAAUGUUACAGGUUAAGAGAGAAAAGGAGCAGGGUAGUGUACCCCUUAGUUUGCUCGACAGAUGAACAGUCUACAAAGUAGAAACAUGACAUUCAGGAGAGCCAGGCACCAGAAGACCCAGAGGGCCAGAGAUCAUU